AGAGUUUGAUCAUGGCUCAGGAUGAACGCUAGCUACAGGCUUAACACAUGCAAGUCGAGGGGAAACGACAUCGAAAGCUUGCUUUUGAUGGGCGUCGACCGGCGCACGGGUGAGUAACGCGUAUCCAACCUGCCCAUCACUUGGGGAUAACCUUGCGAAAGUAAGACUAAUACCCAAUGACGUCUCUAGAAGACAUCUGAAAGAGAUUAAAGAUUUAUCGGUGAUGGAUGGGGAUGCGUCUGAUUAGCUUGUUGGCGGGGUAACGCCACAAGGCGACGAUCGAGUAGGGGUUCUGAGAGGAAGGUCCCCCANAUUGGAACUGAGACACGGUCCAAACUCCUACGGGAGGCA
rnacentral:rRNA from 1 species